rnacentral:rRNA from 1 species
GACGAACGCUGGCGGCGUGCCUAAUACAUGCAAGUAGAACGCUGAAGGAGGAGCUUGCUUCUCUGGAUGAGUUGCGAACGGGUGAGUAACGCGUAGGUAACCUGCCUGGUAGCGGGGGAUAACUAUUGGAAACGAUAGCUAAUACCGCAUAAGAGUAGAUGUUGCAUGACAUUUGCUUAAAAGGUGCAAUUGCAUCACUACCAGAUGGACCUGCGUUGUAUUAGCUAGUUGGUGGGGUAACGGCUUACCAAGGCGACGAUACAUAGCCGACCUGAGAGGGUGAUCGGCCACACUGGGACUGAGACACGGCCCAGACUCCUACGGGAGGCAGCAGUAGGGAAUCUUCGGCAAUGGACGGAAGUCUGACCGAGCAACGCCGCGUGAGUGAAGAAGGUUUUCGGAUCGUAAAGCUCUGUUGUAAGAGAAGAACGAGUGUGAGAGUGGAAAGUUCACACUGUGACGGUAUCUUACCAGAAAGGGACGGCUAACUACGUA